rnacentral:rRNA from 1 species
UACGGAGGGUGCAAGCGUUGUCCGGAUUUAUUGGGUUUAAAGGGUGCGUAGGUGGCUUGUUAAGUCAGCGGUGAAAGCCCGGGGCUCAACCCCGGAACCGCCGUUGAUACUGGUGGGCUUGAGAGUCGUCGAGGGUGGCGGAAUGGACGGUGUAGCGGUGAAAUGCAUAGAUACCGUCCAGAACCCCAAUUGCGUAGGCAGCUGCCUAGGCGACAUCUGACACUGAGGCACGAAAGCGUGGGGAGCGAACAGG